GACGAACGCUGGCGGCGUGCUUAACACAUGCAAGUCGAACGGAAAGGCCCUGCUUUUGUGGGGUGCUCGAGUGGCGAACGGGUGAGUAACACGGGAGUAACCUGCCCUGUACUUUGGGAUAACUGCAGGAAACUGGGGCUAAUACCGGAUAGGAGCUCCUGCUGCAGGGGGGGGGUUGGAAAGUUUCGGCGGUUGGGGAUAGACGCGCGGCUUAUCAGCUGGUUGGGGGGGUAGUUGCUUACCAAGGGUUUGACGGGUAGUCGGCCUGGGAGGGUGACCGGCCACAUUGGGACUGCGGUACGGACCAGACUCCUACGGGAGGCAGCAGUGGGGAAUAUUGCACAAUGGGGGGAAGCCUGAUGCAGCAACGUCGCGUGCGGGAUGACGGCCUUCGGGGUGUAAACCGCAUUCGCCUGUGACGAAGCGGGAGUGACGGUAAUGGGUAAAGAAGCACCGGCUAACUACGUG
rnacentral:rRNA from 1 species